rnacentral:rRNA from 1 species
UACGAAGGGUGCAAGCGUUAGUCGGAAUUACUGGGCGUAAAGCGUGCGUAGGCGGUCUCUUAAGUCCGUUGUGAAAGCCCUGGGCUCAACCUGGGAACUGCAGUGGAUACUGAGAAGCUAGAGUGUGUCAGAGGAUGGUGGAAUUCCCGGUGUAGCGGUGAAAUGCGUAGAGAUCGGGAGGAACAUCAGUGGCGAAGGCGAGUCUCUGGGCCGAUACUGACGCUGAGGAGCGAAAGCGUGGGGAGCGAACAGG